GAGCAGCAAAAAUGGCAGCAGCUGAAAUGGAGAGAACGAUGUCGUUUGAUGCAGCUGAGAAGUUGAAGGCCGCCGAUGGAGGAGGAGGAGAGGUAGACGAUGAACUUGAAGAAGGUGAAAUUGUUGAAGAAUCAAAUGAUACGGCAUCGUAUUUAGGGAAAGAAAUCACAGUGAAGCAUCCAUUGGAGCAUUCAUGGACUUUUUGGUUUGAUAACCCUACCACUAAAUCUCGACAAACUGCUUGGGGAAGCUCACUUCGAAAUGUCUACACUUUCUCCACUGUUGAAGAUUUUUGGGGUGCUUACAAUAAUAUCCAUCACCCAAGCAAGUUAAUUAUGGGAGCAAACUUUCAUUGUUUUAAGCACAAAAUUGAGCCAAAGUGGGAAGAUCCUGUAUGUGCCAAUGGAGGG
rnacentral:misc_RNA from 1 species